rnacentral:lncRNA from 1 species
UGUUCAUACUCCAUUCUUGACCAUGCUUGUUCAUGCUCCAUUACCAUGUACCAUGUUACAAAGAAAACAAUAAAAACAAGUUAGAAAUUACAUUCACUUCUAAAAAUUCAGCACUUACAUAACAAAAUUCAGCAUCAUGGGCAUUUACAAAUACACAUGAGAAGUCAUCUUAAAUUCAUAUCAUUCACUUCUAAAAUUUAGCACAUUCACAU